GAAUGCUGACAUAAGUAACGAUAAAGCGGGUGAAAAGCCCGCUCGCCGGAAGACCAAGGGUUCCUGUCCAACGUUAAUCGGGGCAGGGUGAGUCGACCCCUAAGGCGAGGCCGAAAGGCGUAGUCGAUGGGAAACAGGUUAAUAUUCCUGUACUUGGUGUUACUGCGAAGGGGGGACGGAGAAGGCUAUGUUGGCCGGGCGACGGUUGUCCCGGUUUAAGCGUGUAGGCUGGUUUUCCAGGCAAAUCCGGAAAAUCAAGGCUGAGGCGUGAUGACGAGGCACUACGGUGCUGAAGCAACAAAUGCCCUGCUUCCAGGAAAAGCCUCUAAGCAUCAGGUAACAUCAAAUCGUACCCCAAACCGACACAGGUGGUCAGGUAGAGAAUACCAAGGCGCUUGAGAGAACUCGGGUGAAGGAACUAGGCAAAAUGGUGCCGUAACUUCGGGAGAAGGCACGCUGAUAUGUAGGUGAAGCGACUUGCUCGUGGAGCUGAAAUCAGUCGAAGAUACCAGCUGGCUGCAACUGUUUAUUAAAAACACAGCACUGUGCAAACACGAAAGUGGACGUAUACGGUGUGACGCCUGCCCGGUGCCGGAAGGUUAAUUGAUGGGGUUAGCGGUAACGCGAAGCUCUUGAUCGAAGCCCCGGUA
rnacentral:rRNA from 1 species